rnacentral:rRNA from 1 species
GACACCUCAAUACACAAGAUGUCCGCCAGAAAAUUACGAGCGAAAAGCUUAAAACUCAAAGGACUUGGCGGUGCCCCACACCCGACUUAGAGGAGCCUGUCCUAUAAUCGAUACUCCACGCUAAACCUCACCAUUCAUUGCCUAGACAGCCUAUAUACCGCCGUCGCCAACUUACCCUCUGAAGGUAAAACAGUAAGUACAAUAGUCUAUUAACUAAAACGUCAGGUCAAGGUGUAGCUUAUAGAAUGGAAGAGAUGGGCUACAUUUUUUAUAACAAAACAUACGGCAUGGAACUGUGAAACCAGUUCUUAAAGGAGGAUUUAAUAGUAAAACUAAUAAGAAAAUUAAUUU